GUCCUUGCCGUAAACGAUGUAGAUUAGGUGUUGGGGGUGUCGAUCCCUCCAGCGCCGCAGUUAACACAUUAAAUCUACCACCUGGGGAGUACGGUCGCAAGACUGAAACUCAAAGAAAUUGACGGGGACCCGCACAAGCGGUGGAGCAUGUGGUUUAAUUCGAGGCUACGCGAAGAACCUUACCCAGGCUUGACAUGUAUUUGCAAGCUCAUGAAAGUGAGCCCUCCCGCAAGGGACAUUUACACAGGUGCUGCAUGGCUGUCGU
rnacentral:rRNA from 1 species